UACGUAGGGUCCGAGCGUUGUCCGGAAUUAUUGGGCGUAAAGAGCUUGUAGGCGGUUUGUCGCGUCUGCUGUGAAAAUCCGGGGCUCAACUCCGGACUUGCAGUGGGUACGGGCAGGCUAGAGUGUGGUAGGGGAGACUGGAAUUCCUGGUGUAGCGGUGGAAUGCGCAGAUAUCAGGAGGAACACCGAUGGCGAAGGCAGGUCUCUGGGCAUUAACUGACGCUGAGGAGCGAAAGCAUGGGGAGCGAACAGG
rnacentral:rRNA from 1 species